rnacentral:rRNA from 1 species
CCUACGGGGGGCAGCAGUAGGGAAUCUUCCACAAUGGGCGCAAGCCUGAUGGAGCAACACCGCGUGAGUGAAGAAGGGUUUCGGCUCGUAAAGCUCUGUUGUUGGAGAAGAACGUGCGUGAGAGUAACUGUUCACGCAGUGACGGUAUCCAACCAGAAAGUCACGGCUAACUACGUGCCAGCAGCCGCGGUAAUACGUAGGUGGCAAGCGUUAUCCGGAUUUAUUGGGCGUAAAGCGAGCGCAGGCGGUUGCUUAGGUCUGAUGUGAAAGCCAUCGGCUUAACCGAAGAAGGGCAUCGGAAACCGGGCAACUUGAGUGCAGAAGAGGACAGUGGAACUCCAUGUGUAGCGGUGGAAUGCGUAGAUAUAUGGAAGAACACCAGUGGCGAAGGCGGCUGUCUGGUCUGCAACUGACGCUGAGGCUCGAAAGCAUGGGUAGCGAACAGGAUUAGAUACCCCGGUAGUC